AACUGCUCUUUUUGGAAGAUCGUUGUUUUGAAAACAUUGAAGAAGUGUUCAAAUCACUUAGUAGUUU
rnacentral:tRNA from 1 species